UGGCUGGUCUCACACCUGCUCUUAGCCCAGUCAGAUCCAAUGCCUCGUGUCUCUAACAAAGAUUUACUCAAUCUUCGCAAGGAGAUGACCUUGGGGACAAAUCAGGGAAAUUUGAAUACCGAAUCAACAUGAGAUGAAGGACCCAAUCAUCAGUUAAGAAGAAGGAACAGUUCUCAUGAAGACCCCACUUCGAGAAGCAAGGCUUUAUAUGACACCAGACUACAAGUGCAGCUGACCGCCCCCCCCUUUUUUUUUUACUGAACUCUAGGGCUGGUAGCCUGGAGUCUCUGUGACCCCAUGCUUCCUGAAGACCAUCUCUUCAUCUCAGAAGACUCCAGACAUAGAAUCACUCCAUGCCACCCAAAAAGAUUUUAUUUAUCCAUUCAUGAGAGACACACAGAGAGAGGCAGGGACACAGGCAGAGGGAG